ACCUCUUUCCCCUUCCCCUCAGGGGCCUCUGGGUUCCAGCCCAGCCUCCCAGCUCCACAGUAAUGCCUUCUGAUGCCAGCAGAAGUCCCAUUCUCAUGCCAAUGGAGAGAUUAUGGGAGAAGAAUGUGCCUCCGUAGGGCCCCCAAGAACGGGCCCUGGGGACAGGGACGGGUCCCCGGAGUCCGUUCCAGACUGGCCUCCCAGGACCCAGCACUGGUUCCAGCCCCACACCCAGCAGUCCUGCCAGCAGCGCCUAGUUGCCGAGGUCCUGACGCCAGGCCUGAAGCUGGGUGAGCCGCACAGAGGCUGCGCAACCCGUGGUAAGCACUUGCUCUGGCCCUUCCGUCUGGGGCCGCUUCGCCCGCCCGCCCUCCCUCCCUCUGUGUGGAGUUUCUUCUCCUCCUUCUCCCUCUCCCCCCACUUCCUUGUAUCUAAGGAUUGCAUGAGUCACUUCACUUUGCGCUGCCAGAUGUCGGAUGCAGUUGGGCUCAGAGUGGAAGCCAAUUUUUUUCCCUUUACUCAAAGAGAGCUCGGGGCUGAUGAAAGCCCCCAACAGAGUCAUCCUGGAUUUCUCAGGAGGGCGGGGUUGGCUGCACCCUCACUUCUCCGGGGGUCUGGCCCACCCUCCCUUCCUAGCGUGCAAAGGCCACUUGUCCUGCUGGCACCGGGCAGGGGCCGCCCAGGGCAGGCUGAGUCCGCGCCCAUCAUCCGGCCCCUCAGCGUCACUGGCCUGAGAGGAGCCCGGGGCCCAGGGCCCAGGUCCCCCCGCCCAGGAAAUGUUCAGUGGGAGCUCCACGCUGGUGCUGUGGGGAGACAGGAAAAAAUAAAGAAGGCCCUCGCCUUCAAGGAAUCGGCAGUCUGUUUAGGGAGACGAGAUUCAUAUAAACAGUGGUUCACGUUUUCAGCCUGGAUCGUGCUUCUGCUUCCACACACGCCCUCAUUUAGCUCUCGCACUGCUUCAGCGAGGCGGUGUUCUCACUCUGCAUCCAGAAACAUGAGGAUCUCAGAGGUCAUGUGGUUUGUCCAAGGUCACAUGGUGGGGGGGGCUGAGCCCACCCCAAGGCCACUGGACCCCAAACCUCGCUAUGUGUAACCAAGUUUUCGAGGAGGCAGGGCCAUGUCCUCUGCCCACCGCUGGCCCUGGGCUCUGCUCCUUGGCCUUGAGGGUGUGUAGUCAUGAGCAAUGCUCCAGGUGCUCGGGGGGCCAGAGACUGAGUAUGUUGGGGAGUAUGGAAGCAGGAGGUGGGGAGGCUUUCUUAGUCUGGGUUCCCUUGAAAGCAUAGUGAGACCAGGGCUUGAGUGAUGGUAGUGGAUUUAGGAUGAGUCUAGAAGCAGGAGGGAGUAGGGUGGGUGCGAGAGGAGUGUAAAGGAGCAUUAGCAGAGAAGCCAAGAUGGGGGGCCGUGGGCAGGUGGGCUCUUAUUUUCCCAGGUCCUCUGGAACCACUUGUCUGUGAGGUGCAAGGCUGGACCGGUUAUCCACUGGCUCCCAUCCCCCAUUGGUCGGGGGCUGUCCUGGCAGGGUGUUCACCCCUCUGCCCUCCCGGAUCACAAGCCCCAUGGGCACCAGGAGCAUCAGAAGAAAAGGGGGGGGGGUGGAGCCUGGCAGCAGGUGCUUGAGGUGGAUGCUGAGUUUGCAGAGAACUAUCCGCCCCUCAGCGGGCCUGAGCCAGACCUGGCUUGGGCUACAGGGGAAUGUGGGCACUGGGUUCUGAGCAACCAGAUUCUGGGCACCGCUGCUGCCACACCAGGCCCUGGCUCGACAACCCAGGGGGCCAGCCUUGUUGAGCAGCUCUGGGCAGGUGCCUAGCCGGGUGCCCUGCGUGCCUGGAGAGAGCAGGAGGGAAGAAAGGACACCUGCGUGCUCCCAAUUCACUUCGCUAUGGUCAGCGUGAGGCGCCUGAAGGUCCUCGCGUCCUGGUCCUGCCGACUGGCUGCUCAGGGCCCAGCAGCGCUCCCAGCCCGCCCGUCCUGGGCGUCCACACGGGCCCGGCACCGAGCUGCUGCCUAGGGAAGCUGCCCCGCAACGUUCGUGAGUGCUGGCGCCCCAGCCUACGCUCUUGGACGCCAGGGGUGUACUGUGGGUCCCCGGGCUC
rnacentral:lncRNA from 12 species